AUUGCCUCAGUACGGCGAGUGAAGCGGCAAAAGCUCAAAUUUGAAAUCCUUCGGGAGUUGUAAUUUGUAGGUUGGGAGACCCCGCGGCUAGUGGCACCAAGUCCCUUGGAACAGGGCGCCUUAGAGGGUGAGAGCCCCGUAGGUACCACAACACCGUCUUGUGUCUCCUCUCCAAAGAGUCGAGUUGUUUGGGAAUGCAGCUCAAAGUGGGUGGUAAAUUCCAUCUAAAGCUAAAUACCGGCGAGAGACCGAUAGCGAACAAGUACAGUGAUGGAAAGAUGAAAAGCACUUUGAAAAGAGAGUGAAACAGUACGUGAAAUUGUUGAAAGGGAAGGGCUUGCAAGCAGACACGGCCUUCGUGCCGGGCCAGCAUCGGUUGCUAGGGGUGGAUAAGGAACAAGGAAUGUAGCUCCUCGGAGUAUUAUAGCCUUGCGCGAUACACCCACUGGCGACCGAGGCCUGCGGUAUUCUUUACCUAGGAUGCUGGCGUAAUGGUUGCAAGCCGCCCGUCUUGAA
rnacentral:rRNA from 1 species